rnacentral:rRNA from 1 species
AGAGUUUGAUCAUGGCUCAGAACGAACGCUGGCGGCGUGGAUAAGACAUGCAAGUCGAACGGAGCAUUUCAGGUAGCAAUAUUUGAAAUGUUCAGUGGCGAACGGGUGCGUAACACGUGGAUAACAUUCCGGGAAGCGGGGGAUAGCCCAGGGAAACUUGGAUUAAUACCGCAUGUGGUCGAAAGACUAAAGGUGGGGACCGCAAGGCCUGCCACUUCCCGAUUGGUCCGCGGCCUAUCAGCUUGUUGGUGAGGUAAUGGCUCACCAAGGCUACGACGGGUAGCUGGUCUUAGAGGACGACCAGCCACACUGGAACUGAGACACGGUCCAGACACCUACGGGUGGCAGCAGUCGAGAAUCUUUCACAAUGGGGGCAACCCUGAUGGAGCGACGCCGCGUGGAGGAUAAGGUCUUCGGAUUGUAAACUCCUGUCAUGCGAGAACAAGGUACUCAGGUUAAUAACCUGAAUGUUUGAUGGUACCGCAAGAGGAAGAGACGGCUAACUCUGUGCCAGCAGCCGCGGUAAUACAGAGGUCUCAAGCGUUGUUCGGAAUCACUGGGCGUAAAGGGUGCGUAGGCUGCGCCGUAAGUCAGAUGUGAAAGCUCAGGGCUCAACCCUGAAAUUGCAUCCGAUACUGCGGUGCUUGAGAAAUGAAGGGGAGUCUAGAAUUUUCGGUGUAGCAGUGAAAUGCGUAGAUAUCGAAAGGAAUACCAAAGGCGAAGGCAGGACUCUGGGCAUUUUCUGACGCUGAUGCACGAAGGCCAGGGUAGCGAACGGGAUUAGAUACCCCGGUAGUCCUGGCAGUAAACGGUGCACGUUUGGUGUGGGAGGAUUCGACCCCUUCCGUGCCGGAGCUAACGCGUUAAACGUGCCGCCUGGGAAGUACGGUCGCAAGAUUAAAACUCAAAGAAAUUG